UUAAAACUCCCCUAAACAC
rnacentral:tRNA from 1 species